AUACUCACCAGACAGGGAGAGAUCAUGAUCAAGAAGGUGGUCCACCCAGGGCGAGACCCUCCGCAAAUUCCCCAAAUUACGGAAUCUCCACAGCAUUGUUCCUGGUAGUGUGGGGGACAAAAGGGCUGCGCAUGAGCUCUCCCCUG
rnacentral:snRNA from 1 species